UCCCAGGAGGUCCAGUGGCUAAGACUCCAUGCUCCCAAUGUAGGGGGCCCAGGUUCAAUCCCUGGUCAGGGAA
rfam:TPA: Bos taurus chromosome 13, whole genome shotgun sequence.